GAUGAACGCUGGCGGCGUGCCUAAUACAUGCAAGUCGAGCGAUUGGAUUAAGAGCUUGCUCUUCUGAAGUUAGCGGCGGACGGGUGAGUAACCCGUGGGUAACCUGCCCAUAAGACUGGGAUAACGUCGGGAAACCGGGGCUAAUACCGGAUAACAUCUUGAACCGCAUGGGUCGACAUUGAAAGGCGGGUUCGGCCGCUACUUAUGGAUGGACCCGCGUCGCAUUAGCGAGUUGGGGAGGUAAGGGCUCACCAAGGCCACGGUGCGUAGCCGGCCUGGGAGGGUGAUCGGCCACACUGGAACUGAGACACGGUCCAGACUCCUACGGGAGGCAGGAGUAGGGAAUAUUGGACAAUGGGCGCGAGCCUGAUCCAGCCAUGCCGCGUGAGUGAAGAAGGCCCUCGGGUUGUAAAGCUCUUUUGUCCGGAAAGAAAAGCGCCGGGUUAAUACCCUGGUGUCCUGACGGUACCGGAAGAAUAAGCACCGGCUAACUUCGUGCCAGCCGCCGCCGUAAGAC
rnacentral:rRNA from 1 species